GUGACCACUCCCUGAUAUGCUGCAGAUGCAAUUGAGUAGCAGCUUCAUUCCACAUUUCUCCAACAUCUUUCAUGGUGAGGUCAAGAGCAUAUUCAAAACCAUGUGUGGCUCAGUCCAACUGGAGAGACCAAGUCAAAGAGCCUCAUUUCCAUAAGGUCAUCUUUAGAAUUUGAUGAGAAAGUAAAAUUGCUUCCUCACUGUCCUCACCGGAUUCACAGGGGGAAAUGAUUCAGAGGCUUUUGCCUUUACCUCCUAGAGCAUGUUCUUGCAACUGUUGGGCUAGUCUUAUCUGGCCAAACUCUGUUACUAACAGAAUGUCUAGUUAUUUUGCAGGCACAGAGUUAAGAAGUGGCAAGUUAACACAGCCAGAGCAUGCACAGAAGAAAACUUCGACCUCAAAUAACACCUAGAACCAAAGUCCCUACCGCAGAACUAAAAGAUUGGGAUGUGGCUGGAACUCAAGCACCUAAACACUUUCAAAAGGCUUUGCCUUCCAGUGUCUACUUGGCCUUCCAGUGUCAGACAGCUUCUUGCACCUGACCCACUCAGCUGAGGACACAGAUGUCAAAAAAAAAAUCAUAAAUACAGAAUUCCAGAAAAUUUUACCAAU
rnacentral:lncRNA from 10 species